rnacentral:rRNA from 1 species
CCUACGGGUGGCAGCAGUGGGGAAUAUUGCACAAUGGGGGAAACCCUGAUGCAGCGACGCAGCGUGAGUGAUGAAGUACUUCGUUAUGUAAAGCUCUAUCUGCAGGGAAGAAAAUGAAGGUACCUGAGUAAGAAGCCCCGGAUAACUACGUGCCAGCAGCCGCGGUAAUGCGGAGGGGGCAAGGGUUAUCCGGAUUUACUGGGCGUAAAGGGAGCGUAGACGGCAGUGCAAGUCUGGAGGGAAAGGGGGGGGUUCAACCGCCGGACUGCUCUGGAAACCGUACGGUUGGAGUGCAGGAGAGGUAAGUGGAAUUCCUGGUGGAGCGGUGAAAGGCGUAGAUAUUAGGAAGAACACCAGUGGCGAAGGCGGCUUACUGGACUGUAACUGACGUUGAGGCUCGAAAGCGUGGGGAGCAAACAGGAUUAGAUACCCGUGUAGUC